rnacentral:lncRNA from 1 species
AAAGGAAUAUGUUGGUUAACAAUUCUGUCUUCUACCUUAGGAUAUACUACAAGUCCAUCUGAUAUAUUCUGUAAUGUUGAUAUAUCAAUAAAAAAUAAUAAAGAUAUUAUAAUACAAAAUUUACAUAACAAGAAUCCAAGUAGGCAAUAGCAUGUUCAACUGAUCAGUUGAUGAACAGGAAGAAAAUUAAUCGCUUGUAGCAUAUAUUGUCAUAAACUGACUGAUAUUUAUAUAUAUUUUUCUCUCGUUUAUGAAUAGCCUUUCAAAACGCUUAAGUUAAGGGAAACCAACCC